rnacentral:rRNA from 1 species
UACGUAGGGUGCGAGCGUUAAUCGGAAUUACUGGGCGUAAAGCGUGCGCAGGCGGUUUGCUAAGACAGGUGUGAAAUCCCCGGGCUUAACCUGGGAACUGCGCUUGUAACUAGCAGGCUAGAGUGUGGCAGAGGGGGGUGGAAUUCCACGUGUAGCAGUGAAAUGCGUAGAGAUGUGGAGGAACACCGAUGGCGAAGGCAGCCCCCUGGGCUAACACUGACGCUCAUGCACGAAAGCGUGGGGAGCAAACAGG